rnacentral:rRNA from 1 species
UACGUAGGGUGCAAGCGUUGUCCGGAAUUAUUGGGCGUAAAGAGCUUGUAGGCGGUUUGUCGCGUCUGCUGUGAAAUUUCGGGGCUCAACCCCGAACUUGCAGUGGGUACGGGCAGACUAGAGUGUGGUAGGGGAGACUGGAAUUCCUGGUGUAGCGGUGAAAUGCGCAGAUAUCAGGAGGAACACCGAUGGCGAAGGCAGGUCUCUGGGCCACUACUGACGCUGAGAAGCGAAAGCAUGGGGAGCGAAUGGG